UAUGUACCUAAGCAUAAUAAUGUAUUGCAAUGUUUUUCUACUAUUGCGUCAACCUCAACCGCGUCAUGUUUCUUUUCUUCGCCUAACAAAACUUUCCGUCAUAAUUGCCAAAUUUUUAUUGAUUAUUUAAAUUUUAGUGAAGUAAAUGUAACUUUUUCCACCUUUCUUAUCUUUAGAGAUAAGCAUUCGGCCGAUUUUACUCUGGUCUCUUUUUUUUCUCGUCGCAGUAUCAUUACGAUUUCUCUUUAAACUAGAUGCGUGUAUAUUUACGCGAAUUAUUCAAUAUGUUUUGUACUUUUUCAAUCUAGUCAAUUUUUGUAUAAAAUGUAAUAAAAUGUAAAUAGGUAAUAAAUUCGCGUGUGCUUUUUCGUUUAUGAUCGCGAAUCCACCCCUUCAAUUAACAGUGCUGACGGGACUAGGUACUUGUCACAGUGUUGUCUGCAUCGAACUCUGGUUGUGGCAUUGUUUAAUUUAAUGUUUUGAUAUUUACGCGUCAAUAUUCCAGAAGAAAAAAUGUCUCCUCUUCACAAUCAUUCAAAAUCUGAAAGGCCUGGUGAAAUGGAAGAUAAUGCGCGGGACAGUGUGCCUGAGCAACAUAUGGAUGAUGAUGAAGAAUGGUGUUGUAACUUGAAAGAAAAUUUUGUAAUUCAGAAAUAUAUUACCAAAGGCAGUUACGGCAGAAUAUUCAAGAUUCAAGAAAACUCGUCGAAUUUAUUUUACGCAUUGAAGGUGAUAUCACGCUUCAGCAAAGAUGAACUUGAUGAAGUGGACGAACUGCAAAAACUGCGAGAAAAACGUAUCAUGGAAACCAUUGAAAGCUAUCCUUUCUUAGUUAAACUUCAUUCAUCGUUUACAACGCCUCUGCAUAUUGUGUUGAUAAUGGACUACAUUGAUGGAAUUUCUCUUGCUGAUUACGUGGAAAGUCUUGACGCGUGCACACUUCCGGAAGGCGACGCAGCAUUUUACAUUGCAGAAACAAGUCUGGCAUUACACUUUUUGCAUAAAAAUGGAAUCAUACACAGGGAUGUAAAAGUAGACAAUAUAAUGAUAGAUGUUGACGGGCAUGUCAAGCUGAUUGACUUCGGCGGUGCAAAAGAUGGAUUAGGGUUUGGUGUAAGGACAUCUACACUGAUUUGUUCAGAAUUUAACGCAGCUCCUGAAAUAUUUUCGGAAUUAUCAUACACAUUUAUGGUGGAUUGGUAUGCUUUGGGUAUAGUGCUUUGUUUGAUGCUCACGUCAGACCACCCAUUUAUAUCGCUAGUUGGCAGAUGUUCAGAAGAAAUCACCUUACAGGAAUAUAAAAACAUGAUAUCAGCAAUUCAGAAAAAAGAAUUCCAUUUGAAAAAAGACGUAAGCAGCGACGCAUUUAGUCUUCUACAGAGGCUGCUGGAAGCAGAUCCGAAGAAACGCAUGGGAAGUUGUGACAGUGCUGAUGAAAUGGAAAUUAAGCAACAUGUAUUUCUGAAUGAAAUCGAUUGGACUAUGGAAUACGGGAUGAGAAAUUGUGGUGUCCGCAAUACGACUCUGUUCCCAUUUCGCCCUCCGUCCCUUCCUCAUUUCAUCUCGCAUCGAAUCCUUCAUCCUGCCUAGUGGUGCAUUUUUCUGAGUGGUGCCACAAGAGCGAGAGUGUGCCAUGGAAAAUAUAAGGUAAUGUGUCGAUCAUUCAUGAGGCUCCAUUUAUUCCUCACAUAAUGUUAUCAUCAUCCCCGCUCGUUCUCGCACCAUUAGGGAGUAAACCGCAUUUCAUUUCGCGAUGCCACAUUGAUGUUUAUUAAAAUGUUGGAAGAGAAAAAGGCGAAACCUCCAUUUAUACCGAAAGUUGAAAAUGCACGUGUCAAGCAAUUAUAACAUAUUAAGAGGAUAAGUGAUAAGUUACGAGUACACCUACUACCUCUGUAACAAAUAAAAACGUAUAGGUACAUGUUA